rnacentral:rRNA from 1 species
UACGGAGGAUCCAAGCGUUAUCCGGAUUCACUGGGUUUAAAGGGUGCGUAGGUGGAAUGACAAGUCAGUGGUGAAAACCUGCAGCUUAACUGUAGAACUGCCAUUGAUACUGUUAUUCUUGAGUACAUUUGAUGUGAGUGGAAUGUGUCGUGUAGCGGUGAAAUGCUUAGAUAUGACACAGAACACCAAUUGCGAAGGCAGCUCACAAAACUGUAACUGACACUGAGGCACGAAAGCGUGGGGAUCAAAACAGG